GAUGAACGCUGGCGGCGUGCCUAAUACAUGCAAGUCGAACGAACAGACGAGGAGCUUGCUCCUCUGACGUUAGCCGCGGAGGGGUGAGUAACACGUGGAUAACCUCCCUAAAAGUCUGGGAUAAUCUCGGGACACCGGCGCUAAUACCGGAUAAUAUCCUGCUCCGCAUGGUUCAAUAGAGAAUGACGGUGUUGCUGUCUCUUAUAGCUGGAUCCGCGCCGCAUUAGCUAGUUGGUACGUUAACGGCUUUUCACGGCAACGAGGCGUAGCCGACCUGAGAGGGUGAUAGCCGACACUGGAACUCAGCCACGGUCCAGGCUCCUGCGGGACGGAGCAGUAGGGAAUGUGCCGCAGUAGGCGGAAGCCUGGCGGAGCAGCGGCGCGUGAGUGAUGAAGGUCUUCGGAUCGUAAAACUCUGUUAUUAGGGAAGAACAAAUGUGGACGUUACUGUGCACUUCUUGACGGUAACUAAUCAGAAAGCACCGGCUAACUACGUG
rnacentral:rRNA from 1 species